AUUGAACGCUGGCGGCAUGCCUUACACAUGCAAGUCGAACGGCAGCACGGGUUCUUGCACCUGGUGGCGAGUGGCGAACGGGUGAGUAAUACAUCGGAACAUGUCCUGUUGUGAGGGAUAGCCCUGCGAACGCCGGAUUAAUACCGCAUACGAUCUACGGAUGAAAGCGGGGGACCGUCGUGCCUCGCGCUAUAGGGUCGGCCGAUGGCGGAUUAGCUAGUUGGUGGGGUAAAGGCCUACCAAGGCGACGAUCAGUAGCUGGUCUGAGAGGACGACCAGCCAAAGUGGGAGUGCGACACGGCCCAGACUCCUACGGGAGGGAGCAGUGGGGAAUUUUGGACCAUGGCCGAAAGCAUGAUCCAGAAAUGCCGCGUGAGUGAAGAAGGCCGUCGGGUUGUAAAGCACUUUUGUCCGGAAAGAAACCCUUGGCCAUAAUACGGUCGGGGGAUGACGGUACCGGAAGAAUAAGCACCGGCUAACUACGUG
rnacentral:rRNA from 1 species